UACGGGGGGGAGCAAGCGUUGUUCGGAUUUACUGGGCGUAAAGGGCGCGUAGGCGGCUACGCACGUCCGUUGUGAAAUCGCUCGGCUCAACUGGGCGGGGUCAGCGGAUACGGUGUAGCUGGAGCAAGCUAGGGGGCAAUGGAAUUCCCGGUGUAGUGGUGGAAUGCGUAGAUAUCGGGGGGGAACAUCAGUGGCGAAAGCGGCACCCUGGCAUUAGCCUGACGCUCCAUGUGCGAAAGCGUGGGGAGCGAACAGG
rnacentral:rRNA from 1 species